ensembl:lncRNA
AUUUUCUGUUACCUAUAUCAUUAAUAUAUGCAUUUGUUUCUUUCUUAUUUUCAUCUUAUUGGGGCUACUUUUAGUCUAACUUAUUGGCUUGAGUGCCUGCUUUUUUAAAAAAAAAAAAAAUCAUUUAAAUUGGUCUGACCAUAAUUAGACUAAGGUUGAUUGAGGUAGCAUCUAGAGGGUGUUAAAUUUUAUGCUUGGUGUCUUUUUUUUUUUUCAUAGCCAGACCCUAUCUAUAGAUACAGGUAGAUAUGGACAUAGGUGAUGAUAGAGAUGUAGAACAGAUAAAUCAGAACUCUGAGAGAUGAGAAACUUCAACCUCCAUAAAAGAAUAAACAAGGGAAGAAAGUAGACUUAUUCUGUUUUGAGGUCUUUCUUUGAACAUUACAAAUAAUUUAGCUCCUUCUAGUGCCUCCUUUUCUUUAUUUAGGGGUCCCUGAGUUCCGGGUCGAGUUGUUAAAAUGAGCAGGUUAUGAGAUGUUGAGUGAGGAGCCCACACGCCUGUCCUCCUGGGGUCCCGCACUGUCAUCUGAGCAGGAGCAGGCCUCUGUCACGCUGAAGACCUGCCUGCUACUCUUGGGUUUCAGAAUCCUGGUAGAGGAGCGCGUUACUUUAAGCAGCAGACACGUGAGUCUCCAGAUGCAGCCAAACAUGAAAUCGGCCCGGGUGGAUAACCUGAGCAGCGACAAAAGAAAUCAUCUCCUUCCAAGCUGGGCUAGGAAUUUGUGUUCGUGCAUUAUGCCAAGUUCGAGGAGGAGAAACGGGUCAACCAGUCUCCAAACAGGGAUUCUUAAAAACCGGAGCAAGAGAUGUAUCCACUAAAGGGGAAUGCGGAUGUUUUUGCAAGCAGGUUCCUCCACUCCCUCCUGGUGUAUCCCCCACAGCCCUGGUAACAUUGUGACCUGUUUUCUAGUAAGCGUAACUUUUAAAGUAGACUAUGAUUUAUAAAAUCACCUUGCCAGGUGAAGGUUUAAGAUGGUUGAAACAGGAUCCUUUGAUCUUAAUGAAAUCCUUAAUGGUAAAGCCAACUUAAUGAUGUGUUUCUGUUAGAGUGUUUUUCUGCAUUCAUUCAUAUUUUCUGAAAAAAGCAGAACAAUAUGGGAAGUAUAUUAAUCAUGUUACUGCUCUGGCUGGAAUAAUUUAUUAAACAGUAUCAUGGUUUCCUGGCAGAUUUACUAAGCCUCUUCAAUUACUUAACUCUUGUAGAAUAAUUUACAUACUGGCAGAGCAGAUUAAAAAAUAAAACACAUGAAUGAAGUCAUUAAUUAAGACUAUUUCAGAAGCACCUGGAUGAAGAUAAUAUUUUCAUCUCCUCAAUUCAUCAUGAAAGACUGUUUUCUAUGUAUCAACCUGUUUUUUAAAAAACGCCUCUACACAUUAUUGUUUCACUAAAUCUUUUGCAUAAUCAAUACUCUUGAUCAAUGGCAAAGAUUUAUUAAUUAAUAAAUUAAUUUUAAGUAAGUAAAUAUUUUAACAUUACUAUGCCUGUUUGUGGUAUCAGUGUUUAAUUCCAAUUUGCUGAUAAGUCAGAGAGCAGUCAAAAUUGUCUGCUUUUUUUUAAUUAGUGGCUGCUAUUCCCUUUUAGCAUUUUGCCUCUUUCUCUGAAUAUUCUAAGCACAACUUGUAUAUACUGCCCACAGAGAUACCCAUAGAUCAAUCUCUCAAAAGUGCAUUUGAACAAAGGGCUUAAAAACUCAGAUAAUGAAAUUGCAGGCUUUCCUAUUGAUAUAAAAGAGAUAUUCUUUUUGCUUAAACCUAAUAGUCAAUGGAUUAUGAAAUUUCAUACCAUUAAAUGUACCACCUGGAAAAAAAAGUUGAUAAUGUAUGAUGCAUGCUCAGAAAUAAUUCUAUACAGCAUAUAUAUUGGUCACAGUAGCUUUUGGAAACUUUGAAAUGUAUUGAAUAUAUUCCAAGUGAGUUCUCUUGUUCUUUUUUUUUUCCUUCCCUACAUGGCUUUCGGCUGAUAAGCAACCAGUUUGUGCCUAUCCCAGUUGCCAAAUAUAGCACAACUUGAUCUCCUUCCAUUCUUAGAAACAAAGAAGCCCUUUGUUUUUGCCUUUCAAGAUGAUAAAGGGAAUUGUAGUCAUUCCUCCAGUGGCUAAUACCCGCCAGCAGAUCCUGAAAGAUGCCGUUGAUUUCUAGAUGUAUCCUGAUUUCAAGGUUGGUAAGUUAGGAGAAAAUGUGUUUCCUAGAAUAGAUAAAAUACAGUAUAUGGUGGUAGAUUCCAUUCCUAAAACUGUCUAAUUUGCCUACUCAAAAGAAUGAACCGCCCAGCAUUCCCAUCCAAGUAUAGUUAUGAAUCCUAAAACUAUAUAUAUAUAUUUGUGAAAUAUUCGCCAAGAGAUGGGGAAGUGGAGGCAUGGGUAUGAUAUGGAAGCUAUGUCUUUAUUACUGAUUUUCUUCUAUUAAAAUUUUCAUUAAUUAGGCCAGAUGGGAUGGCUCAAGUCUGUAAUCCCAAUAUUUCAGCAGGCCAAAGCAGGAGGAUCAUGUGAGGCCAGGAAUUCAAGACCAGCCUGAGCAACAUAGUGAGACCCCUUCUCCAUAAAAAAUACAAUAAAAAAUUAGCUGCGUGCAGUGGUGUGAGCCUGUAGUCCCAGCUACUUGGGAGGCUAAGGAGGGAGGAUCGCUCGAGCCCAGGAAUUUGAGGCUGUAGUAAGAUGUGAUUACACCACUUCAUCUAGCUUGGGCAACAGAGCAGGACCCAGUCUCUUAAAAAAAAUCAAUAAUUAGUUAUUAAUAUAUUUCAUUUAUUUCAUUUUUACUAAUAAAUUAUAUAUUUGUAAAUAAACAAAUAUAUGUUCUCAGUUCAAACCAAUUGAUAAAGAAGACAAGCAUAUGUAAAAUAAAAUCAGAAUCGUGCAAAACAAUACAUUAAAACUGCUUAAUUUCAUACAUUGUGACGUAUGAAUAUCACAAGAUGACGAUUAUUGCCACCUUAUAGGCUGCAGUUUGAAAUGUAAUUUUUAAAGAACAGUUUGCAGCAGUUUCUUCUUUAUCUUUCUUUCUUUCUUUUUUUUUUUUUUUUUUUUUUUUGACUGUUUCGCUCUUGUUGCCCAGACUGGAGUGCAAUGGUACAAUCUCGGCUCACUGAAACCUCCGCCUUCCGGGUUCAAGCGAUUCUCCUGCCUCAACCUCCUGAGUAGCUGGUACUACAGUCGGGUGUUACCACACCAGGCUAAUUUUUGUAUUUUUAGUAGAGACGGGGUUUCACCAUGUUGGCCAGGCGGAUCUCAAACUCCCGACCUCAGGUGAUCUGCCGGCCUCAGCCUCCCAAAGUGCUGGUAUUACAGGGGUGAGCCAUCACGCCUGGCCUAAAAUUUUGAACAUGCUCUUAGCAAGGGACCAAUGGUCCAACAAAUAAACUGAAAAAUGGAAAGUACUGGCGUGGCUAUCUAAGGGUAGCUUUUCUUUUUACAUUACAUUUCAUUCAAAACUAUUAAAAUAAGGACAUAUUUUAUAAAUUACUAAACAUAUGCAUUUAUGGAAACAGCCAUAUCCACCAAGACACCAUAUGAACAAAUACAUAGCCUUUUAUAUGUUUGCUGCUAAUAUGUAACCCCUCUAGAUGUUUAUACCCACUCACCUAAAAUUAAAAAGAAAAAAAACAUACUGUUUUUCUCAUUAUGUUUUUCUGAUAAAAAUUUUAUCUCACAUGGUGUCCCUAAAAUUUCAACUUCUUUAAAAUUCAAUGCAGUUUUCUUCAAAAGUGUGGCUACCCAACAUAAACAACCUCUACCCACAUUCCAUUUGAAGUGCUGAAAACUGAAAAGUAUAUGGACUUUGGUGCCUGGCAGAACUGGGUCCUCAUUCCAGCAACGAUCCUGAUUCCCAUACAUUUUCUACUCUGUAAAAUAAAGGAAAUAAUAUAAGGGAAUAACACAGGAAUAAUUGUGCUGUUUCUCUGAGCUGAGAUGCUACACAGAGAUCACGGUGCAGGGCUUUUUUGUUGUUGUUGUUGUUUUUGAGACAGAGUCUGGCUCUGUUGCCCAGGCUAGAGCGCAGUGGCAUGAUCUCUGCUCACUGCAACCUCCGCCUCCUGUGUUCAAGAGAUUCUCGUGCCUCAGCCUCCCGAGUAGCUGGGGCAACAGGCGCUCGCCAUCACGCCUGGCUAUUUUUGUAUUUUUAAUGGAGACAGGGUUUCACCAUGUUGACCAGGAUGGGUCUCGAUCUCCUGACCUCGUGAUCUGCUCGCCUCGGCCUCCCAAAUUGUUGGGAUUACAGCCGUGAGCCACCGCGCCCAGCCAUGGUUUUAAGAUACAGUCAAAUUGUGUUAUACCCCCUCAACCAUAGUUAUAUGCCGUAAUGAGAAAAGCAUCCUAAAACUGUAUACAAACAUGUAAUUUGCCAUAACAUUUAUGCAAAUUAAAAACUGAAUAUAAAUAUCUGAAGCCAAAAGACAUUUGUAAACUGAAAAGGAACAAGAGUCAAAAAGGAUGAGACAGAGAAGGAGUAGGAAAAGACGAAUUACUAUAAAGAGAUAAGGAAGAGAGGGUGGAAGGCGGGGGGAAGGCAGGGCGAGGAAUGAACCAGUCCUUUUCCAUAACUUGUAGUUAUUGAUGAAAUAUUAGUUACUGUUUUGGGUUAUUAUUUCAUCUUUGUUUAUUGAUUUGCUCUUUCAGUUAUCAUUGUCCAUCCUAAUUUCAUUCAUCCAUGAAAUGCUAUUGUUAUUUUAAUGCUAUUGUUAUUAAAAUGUAUAGAAUGUCUAUUACGUUUCAUGUACUGAGCUAUUCACCGGUAAUGUCUCAUUCUAACAUGAAACAAACUCAGUGAGUUAGGCUUAAUUAUUUUUAUUCUACAGAUGAAAUGGCCGAGGCUGAAAUUUACUGGCCUAAUUAAAACCAGUGCCUUGAGAACACACACUUGUUUAUUAAUAUGGAUAGGGACCAGCCUUAUGAACCAUAAUAUUUCCUUUCAAAAAUAGGCAAUACAUAGAAGGUAAUUUCAUGCCAACAACAUAAUUUGAAAACAAAAAGCAAAAGCACCAUAAAUGUUAAUAUGUAUGUUUAAUGAACAUUUUGGAGAAAGUGAAUGUACUGAUAGGUAUGAAGGAUGAGCAACUUUGGGAGGAGAGAAUCCAAAUUCCCUGGGUGUCCACAUGCUAGCUGCAAGAAACCUCAGCCUAUCCCUUCAUAUCUUCAACUUAAAAUGUUCUUAUAUAUAAAUUAGAAUUAAUAUCAAAUCAUAAAUUUG